rnacentral:rRNA from 1 species
UACGAAGGGAGCUAGCGUUGUUCGGAAUCACUGGGCGUAAAGGGUGCGUAGGCGGCGCGGUAAGUCGGGUGUGAAAUCUCGGAGCUUAACUCCGAAACUGCAUUCGAUACUGCCGUGCUUGAGGACUGGAGAGGAGACUGGAAUUUACGGUGUAGCGGUGAAAUGCGUAGAUAUCGUAAGGAAGACCAGUGGCGAAGGCGGGUCUCUGGACAGUUCCUGACGCUGAGGCACGAAGGUCAGGGGAGCAAACGGG